rnacentral:rRNA from 1 species
UCAGAGCCCGUUAAUGGGUGAUGGCGUGCCUUUUGUAGAAUGAACCGGCGAGUUACGAUUUGAUGCAAGGUUAAGCAGUAAAUGUGGAGCCGUAGCGAAAGCGAGUCUGAAUAGGGCGUUUAGUAUUUGGUCGUAGACCCGAAACCAGGUGAUCUACCCUUGGUCAGGUUGAAGUUCAGGUAACACUGAAUGGAGGACCGAACCGACUUACGUUGAAAAGUGAGCGGAUGAACUGAGGGUAGCGGAGAAAUUCCAAUCGAACCUGGAGAUAGCUGGUUCUCUCCGAAAUAGCUUUAGGGCUAGCCUCAAGUGAUGAUUAUUGGAGGUAGAGCACUGUUUGGACGAGGGGCCCCUCUCGGGUUACCGAAUUCAGACAAACUCCGAAUGCCAAUUAAUUUAACUUGGGAGUCAGAACAUGGGUGAUAAGGUCCGUGUUCGAAAGGGAAACAGCCCAGACCACCAGCUAAGGUCCCAAAAUAUAUGUUAAGUGGAAAAGGAUGUGGCGUUGCCCAGACAACUAGGAUGUUGGCUUAGAAGCAGCCAUCAUUUAAAGAGUGCGUAAUAGCUCACUAGUCGAGUGACACUGCGCCGAAAAUGUACCGGGGCUAAACAUAUUACCGAAGCUGUGGAUUGUCCUUUGGACAAUGGUAGGAGAGCGUUCUAAGGGCGUUGAAGCAUGAUCGUAAGGACAUGUGGAGCGCUUAGAAGUGAGAAUGCCGGUGUGAGUAGCGAAAGACGGGUGAGA